rnacentral:lncRNA from 1 species
UCUCCUUGCCAACCAGCAGCUCCCUUGGUAGGGGCAUGCAGAAGACCUGAUGACACAAACCCUCCAAAGAGUUUCACCCUCACCACAACAGGUGGCUUCCUGCUCGGCAGCCCAUCCUGCAUCACUUCAGUGGACUUCUCUGACAUCUACUAGACCACAUUAAAUGAAUCACAGCCUUGAAACUGAACUGGAAGGACUUCCUUCAAGGAGCCAGCAUAUGAACUUGCUGCCUAUCUUUAGCAAGGAGAUGCAAAUGACAUCCACAAACCUCUUCUGCUGUAUACCUGGAUGAAAGCAAGGCUAGCUGUGUGUCCUAUGGCACCAAGGACUGAAAGAUUGUAAGAAGUAAGAGGGAAAGUGAUCCAAAAAGGUGGAACACCUAAUGUACAGCCCCAAGGAAGGAGCAUACUUGGAGAAUUCAAGGAACAGAAAGAAAAACAGGAAGGCUGGAGUGAAACUGAUUAAAUAAAGCAUCGUAACAUUAGAGGUCCAUCAUAGAGGCCAAGCCAAAUACAACUAUGUUUUCAAGCAUAAGAUGGAUAGAUGUGGUAAACCACAAGAAGCAAACAGCCCUUUAGAGGUGUGGAUUGACCUUGCAGAGUUACAAGUGGAGCCAGGAGAAAUCAUGUUGAGUGGGACUUCUCAUCCUACCUAAGAGAGACUAACAGAUGGAAAGCUGGGUACAGAAGGGAGAGAAGGCAGUAACAGUCAGAUUUCAAUACGCUGAGACUGUGACGUGGGACUUUUGAGUGAGUAACAUCUGCUCCUAGAACUGAGUUGAGUGGGGAUCCUCCCACACCACCCAGGCAAGAGAACUAACAAUUGAUGACUGCUCCAAAUCAGUCGCCAGUCUACCUAAUACUUCUACCUGGUAGGUAGCCUGAUACCCACUAACAUCAGAUGUGAUGCCAGAAGUAGAGCAGCCAUCUUGCAACCACAAAGCAACAGCAUGAGUAUGAAAGUUAGUGCAUUAAGGAUGCUGGAAUAGAAUGAUUGAAAGCCAGAUGCCUAAUGACGUUGCUGAAUAGCUGAAACAAUACCAGCAACUAGCUGGUCUUGCUCUGUUGCCUGGCCUGAAGUGCAGUGGCAUGAUCAUGGCUCACUGCAGCCUCAACCUCCCAGGCACAAGUGAUCCUCCCACCUCAACUUCCAGAAUAUAGAAGCUGGAACUACAGUGACCUACAUCCAAAGUGAAAAGUUAUUCAGCCUCUGAAGAGAAGCAUUUUGUUUGGGGAUCUUCAAGUAUGCUUGUCAGCACCGAGAACUGGAAAAAAAUCUCUGAUUGUCCUGCAGCAAUGGCAUUAAAGGCUCCUCAUAACAUACAGAACCAGAAUUGUGCCAUAAUUUACUGAAAUUGAACAUUGCUCUGUGACUGCUAAUUUUCCAUCGAGAUGAUUCUGUCUCUAACCAAGAAAAGAAAAGUUUGUCUUCCUGACUGCUGACACUGCUGACCAAGCCCACCACCAGAUGCCUGGCUGCACACCCAGAGGGCAGCCGCUUCCCGUGGUCCUCUCGAAGAACUUCCCUUUUGCAAUGCAUGUUUAGCAAGUGGAUGAGUUUGUCUUUUCUGAUUUCUCUGCAAGCUCUGCAUUGCCCACCUGAACCAGUGCUUCAGAAGAACUAAUGGGAUCUCUGACCCUCCAACAUCCUCUUCCAGACUUUCACUUUCCUGGCUCCUUGCAGGGACAUGUAAUAAACGUGCUCUCCAGAGAAA